ensembl:miRNA MIR3658 microRNA 3658
UAUUUAAGAAAACACCAUGGAGAUGAAAUGCCUUUGAUUUUUUUUUUCUUUUUGUA